rnacentral:lncRNA from 1 species
UUUUUUUUUUUUUUUGUCUCCAUAAUCUGGCAUCCGUGGAAGUUAGUUUUUUAUUACAGAUUUCCUGCCUUUAUCUCACUUCAUUACAAAAUCUCCUGGGAAGAGGAAUCUUACGAAUUGCCAGGCACAGGAGCAGAAGCCAUCUCGGAGACCCGGGAGGCAACCCUGACCCGGUGGUCUGUCUGGUUCACGGAUGCUCUGCAUCUGGGGUUUGUUUCAAAACGGGACGUGACUUAAUCUGUCUCAGUCUUAGGAUGGCUGCAGUUGGUCUUACACAGCCAAGAUCCUUGGGCGUGUCUCUUAUCUCAGACAGGACCAGGGCAAGGGAAAAACCAAAGUGGGUGAAGUUAGGCUGCGGGGUGGGGGUGGGGUCCCCACCAACCCCUGUGUGAGCUUCUGCCCCAAGCCCAUCCUCAGAGGCAGGUACACAGGCUUUAUACACUCUCCCUUCUACCAAAGUACCACCCCCUGCCGGCCCCAGGGAUGGGUCAGAAUAAAGCAUUCUUCUCCUCUGGGACAUCUGAGGGGCCUGUUCCCCUCCCCCUUUCUAAACAGGCACCCCUCCUCACCGUAUUCUUACAGUCCAUUACAUGGUUCAUUGGGGGCAUUUAUUACCUUUUUAGGAAAGUAUUUGUUAUCCCAAGUCAUUCCCCAUAGAAUAGAUGCCCCAAGAGGACAGGAAACAUAGUAUAUAGUAGUCGCCUAACAGUGGUGGAUAAAGUAAACUAAGAAUUUCCCAUAAUAACGCUAUAAACAUGAUGCUUCAAGUCAAAAAAAAAAAUUUUUUUUUUCUUUGGUUCACUUCCAAUACCAAGGGGUUUGUGUAUGAAAUCAACCAGUAUUUACUCAGAAAUUGUUAGUACUGGUCAUAGAACGCAAAUUUGAAUUCACAACAGCAACUCCUCUCUAUCCUACCAACCCUAUUUUCUAUUUCACGUCAUGUUUUUUGUUGUAGUAAAUAUGUACUGAGUAGCUAUAUGCCUCAUCUUUAAGCCCCUUAAAAAUGGAAUUGACGCGUCUACACAACCCCAACCUGAAUUCCUGAGAAAACAUCAAAGAGCAGUCUCUGGUGUUUCCUCCCCACCGUCCAGUUGCCACACCAACACUCCCAGUCCUCAGCUUUGGUAGUUUUAUGAUAGGUCUUGCAUUUAAGCUCACCACCUUGGCUCUAGCUCCCUGGAUGAAGCGCCAGGAACUAGAGCAAUCCGAACUUUCUUCAGUUUUGACUUCAGCACUCCUGUAAGCCAGAUGCACCAGCCCUAGAGCUCCUUAAGCUAUGAACACGGAAAAUGACUGGGGCAGAUGGUAAGCUGGUCUCAGUGCUCCCACACCGCUGAAGCUUUCUCUCAACUCUCCGCACAGCUCAAAGAAAAAAAGAUAGGCUCUUGAGCUCCACAGAACCAACUAUUUACCAGAAUAAAAUGCUUCAGCACUAAUUUAGGGUGCCCCAGUUCCAAAGCAGACAAGGUUACUCAUAAAAACCUAAAAAUCCCCCCCAAAAGAAUAAAACUUGUGGGGUAUAUAGUCAUCAAAUUCUGCUGUCUCUACAGCACGCAGUCACAAGAGUACACGUUAACAAGGCUCAUUGCUCACCAGCAUUUUCCAAAAAAGGCAAACAACGUUUCCUGAAAAAGAGUCCACUGGCCCCGCACAAUCCUAAAAACUAGGGUUUCAGACUUUCAAAUUCUACAAUUCUCUCCUGUAAGCCAAGGGUAAGCGAACUUUUUCCAUUAAGGGCCAGACUGUAAAUAUUUUUGGUUUUAUCUUUGUCUCAAGCACUCAGUUGUGACCUUGUAGCCCCAAGGCAGCCAUCAACAGUAUGUGCAAUGUGUGGACAGGGCCUAACUCCAUUAAAACUUUAUUUACAAAACCAACUGAUGUCAUUAUGACUGAGUUCAUCGACAUUACCAAUAAUAUUAAAUUGGGGAGGAGAAGAUCCAAGGUUCUGUAACCCUGUCCCAAACCUAGUUCUGCUGGCAGCACUGAAUUUGAGCUAAAAACAACCAACCGACCUGGGAUAGUGUUUCAUCACAGGACAUAUGACAACGAUUUUGUGUUUGAAGACCAUGCUUUAGGACUAUUAAAUGUUACCACCAUCUGUGGAAAUCCACGUUUUCUCUUUAAAAUUAAAAUAACCUUGAGUUUUAGGAAACUGCAUCUAGGCAUGAACCAUUCAAACAGCUGGAAGAUACAGAAGUGGUAUUAACUCAGGAAAGGUAACUAGUUCACAUGGAAAAAUCAGUGGAUCUGGUUUGCAUAUAACCAUCUAAGCUCAUCUAUUCGGUAGCACCUCUCGCAAUUACUUGGUCGAUCAACAAGCUAAGGUCAUGGGGAUAAAAAUUUUUAACAAAAGUGUAUACUGAGAAAAUGUUGGCACUGAAUGAUUUCACUGGGGAAAAGCAUUUAAUUUAUAUGAAGACACUGAGGUAGAGAGAAAUUGUCACGUACCCAAGAUCACAGAGCUGGCUCUAGGAAGAGACAUGAUCACAAGCCAGUAAACUCUGAGCUCUAAGAAGCACAGACAACAUCAACCACUGCUCAACACUAUAUUCCCAGCCUUGACAACCGUUCCUGGCAUACAUAAGGCAAUUAAGACCUAUUUGUUGAACACACAAAUGAAGAAUUGAUGCAUCAAUGACUGGUGAGCCAGAGCUCCCCACAUUCACAUCAGAAAUGUUAGACUAACAAAUGCCUUUGUCCAGGUGAAUGUUCUACAUCUAACUUUCUUCCCAGCAUUGCAUUGCACAUCUAGUCCCCCAGACACCCUCUAUCAACGGCUGAGCAAGUGCAAACAGCCUCAAAGAAGAGAAGCACCACUCAAGGCAGCAAACUCCAUCCUGGGGAAUUAUGUAUGCGCGAUGAGAAUCUGUCUGGAACAUCAACAACGUCUCAAUCUUCAACAGCUUCUCACAGAGGACUCAGCCUAAGUGUCUACUGCUGACUGUCCGGGGGUUCCCAGGACCGGCCAAAUGUGAGCCUGAUUGUUUAGAGAGGUUAUGGCUUAUUUCCCAUUAUCUACGCCCACUCAUCCAUCACCGUGUGGCUUCAUCGGAUACAAAGCAGGCUCUUCAACGCAAGGCUUAGAAGGCAUUCUGACUCUUCCUGACUGUUUGCCAUCCUUUGCCUCCCUGACAGCAGACAGGACAGGUGCUGCCCGGGGAGACUCGACUGUGCAGAGGGUGGCUCAUACUUGACACCAUCAUACCUAAGUACCUUGCCCAGCUCCGCAGCUGAAGGUCAAGUGGAAACAACCUGCAUUCCUUCCACAGGUGUUGGCCUUUUCAAAGGAAUGCAGACUUCGAGCUCCGUAUUUGUGUGUGUGUGUGUGUGUGUGUGUGUGUGUGUGUGCAUGUGUUUGAGAGGGAAGAAUGGUAGCCUUAAUUAAAAGGACCAGAAUAUUCAAUGGUCACUUUCAAAGUCUGCAGCAAUGGCUACAGAGCAGUAGGCUCUUCGAGAACCAGAAGUAAUUAAGGGUAGGAAAAGGUCCUGCUCCUUUAUCACUUAGUCUUUUAAAGAAAAACACAACCAUCAAUGUUUGACUCAUUGACAAAAAUUCUGCAAACUUUCCCAACUGUUAGAAAACAGUAAAUGACAUUCUAUCAAUCACAGAAUAAUGAGAACAUUUAAAAUAUAUGACCUCUGGAAAUAACUAUUUUAGAACCACUUUCUCAGUUCUUCAUGCUGUAUUGAUAUAAUACUCUUCUGGAAAUACUGAUAAUACCAAAUACACGCCAAAAAAGCGCUGAUAUACUCACAAAAAAAAACCACCCAGUGGUACUUUUCCGUUUCACACACACACACAAUUUUCCAGGAUGACACACCUUGAUAGAAGUGCAAUGCCAGAUUGAAAAUAAACUCAAAACAUUUACACGAUAAAUUCAGACAUCUAAAGGGGGUUUUCCCACAAUUAAAUUUGCAAUGCUAUCAGCAAAAUCGGUUUAUUUUAAGAUUGUCUGCCCAAUAUAUAAAUUUCCCUUUGUGUUUGAAAUACUUUUAUCAGAUAAGAUAGCUUUUGUUUAAACUGCUAUUUUCAGAAUUUGCUUUGGGGGUUUUGAAUACACACAGAGAGGUAACUUGAGAUUUCCUACCCUGCUUUAAAAUGUGUUUCUUCUCUCUGUUUGUAUUUAGUAAUUUCCUGUCAAAGAACCUCACAUAAUUAACUUUCCUUGCUCAGGCCUACUUCCCCCCCCCCCUCCCCAUUCCUACUUCCUGAGGACGGUAAUAAAAUGCUGAUUACAUUGGGCUGGUAUCUGCCUUGCCUUCUCCAUCUCCCUCCCUCCCUCCCUCUGCCAGAGCCGACUCUCAGGUUUCAGCAGUUGCACUGGGAGAGACCUGGAACAGAAAGGAAGCAAAUCAGAUUUGGGAACUUCCUACUCAUUCACAUUUAUUGGGAAGUCCUAGCAGUGGGAGGUAUGACCCCCUUUUUCCCUCUUCAAAUUUAGUGAAAUCCCACCACUGCCAUCCCUCCCUGUGGUCCCUUGAGCAUAGCAGAAGGCCUCCCUUUCACUUCUGACCAAAGGCUGAGGUGGUUGGGAAGAGCAUAGUCUUAAGCGACUCAGGACAGGAAGAACACCCACCACAAUACAGCAAUAGAAAUGUUUUCUGUAUAGCUGAGCAGAUCAGCCCAUGUUACUGCUUGAUCAUUAAUCUCUCAUCUCCCAGUAGUCGAACACCUCAUAGAAUUUAUACAAGGAAUUUGUUAGCUUUAUUACCGGAGCAUUCCGAACACACACUUCCAAAGAUGCGGCAUGAGAAGAAAAAGCAAAUAAUGUUGUGAAUUCAUCCCAUUUUGGGGUUGGCACUUCCAGGGCACGAUGACCAACUGCCUUCAUGUACAUCAGAGUUUCUUACCCAAGCACCCUUGACAUAUUAAAACAAAGAAUUUUUUUAUAGGAGGCCAUCCUAUACAUCUGUAUGUUUAGCUUUAUUUUUACCCCAGCACCAUUGCUAUAUCAGACCAAGUGUUUCUUUGUUGUGCAGGCUAUCCUGCUCAUUGUCCUGUAGGAUGUUGAGUAGCAUCCAUGACCUUUAGACACUAGAUUCAAGUAGUAUCUUGAACCCCCUCCUGCUCAUGUCAAGUAUCUCUAGACAUGGGCAAAUGUCCUGGGAGCAAAAAUCACUCUCAGUUGGCAAACAGUGAUACAUUAAACUCAGAAUAAUAAAGCUGCUUCUCUUUAUUUCUUACAGACAAAAUCCACCAUUUGUGAAAACCAGCUUUUUCAUCAUAUGAAGAAUUCAACCUUAAAAUUCCAAAGGGCUCCAUUCUGACCACUCAACAUUUGAAGAGUAAAUGCUGGUGACUUCCUAUCAUGAUGGCGCCAUAAAUUCCCAAGUGAUAGAUCCCAUUGUUUCAAACCCAUUGGAAAGAUUAAAAGAGAAAUCCCAAGCCAAGCGACAAAACCAUCAACAUCUUCAUGGACCAGAAGCAGACCAAAAAUGCCAACUGACAAAAGGGUAAACCACAAGAUGUUGGAAUCUGGAGCUAUCUAAGCCAACGGUGAUGGAAUCUGAUCACCUGAUGGGUCCCUAGGCAUAGUCAUAAGCAAACACCUUUACUCCAAAGCAUAUGCCCUAGAGAAACUCUUGAACACGUGCCUCAGUCAACCUGCUAAAGAGUGUUCCUGUAAGCACUUUUAUUGAUAGCAAAAAAUACCAACACAAAAAUUUACUAAUGGGAGGACAAAUAACACUAUAGUAUACGCAGAAUGUAAUAUUCAUAGCUACAGUAGAAAAACUACUGCUACACGUAACAAUGAUCAAUCUUAUAGAGACACUGUUUUGAAUGAAGAACAAGUCACAGAAGAUUAUCUACAAUGUGCUAAUAUAAGCAAAUCUAAAUCUAUUAAACCUAUUUUUAAAAACUCAAUGUGUGUUUUUAAGGAAAAAAAAAAAAAGACUAAAUUCAGACCAGUGGUUUCCUCUGGGGAGGAAAUAAGGGAUUAUAUACAGUAAACUGAACUGCAUUAGAAAGGCCUGAGAUGAAUUACUGGGUAUUCAUUUAAUAUUAUGUUUCAUAACACACAUGUAUAGUCUGUGUUUCUGUGUGUAUUCUUUGUAUCAAGUAAAUGUUUUUAAAUGUCUACUUCAGGAAAAGGGGAAAAAAAAGACCUAAGGAAAAUCAUGGUAAAACAGAAAUCAAAAGAACUAAAAUAAAAAAUGAAGUAAAUGGAUUUUUAAAAAAAAUGCAUGGGGACAUUAGAAACACUAAGAAGUUGGCAAAGUAUCAGCAAGUUUGAUUAAUUGACUGAGAAAUUAAUAACCUUUUAAAUUCAGUUGGGUAAAGUUAAAAAUCUAG